UGAAGUGUAUGGUUUGUCUUGCACGAGAUAUCCUGAGAGAACCAGAGCAGUCCUUGAUGUAAAGAGGCCAGGGUUUUCAGGCCUGUCCAACAUCUCUGACCCCCACCCCUUCGCCAAGAACAGUCUGCUUUCUCCAUGCUUCUUAUUAGCUGCUGUGAGCUAAAGGAGGAGGCCUGUUAGGUGCGUCCCUCCAGACUGCGAGGCAAGCGACUCAGGGCUGGACUUGAUGGAAAAAGAAGUUUAUAAAUAAGCAACCCAAUUUCUCCAACCUUUUCGUGGAGCUGCUUAAAAGUCAAGCAAAGUUUUGCUUGUAAUUUACAACGGUGCUAUUGAAACCUGGGAGGCGAACAAUUAGAAGACGCCCCAAACAUGCUUUUUUGCUCUACACUGAUAUACUUGCCUACAAUGACAGGGAAAGCUGCUUAGUGCAACCGGCUCUUUGAGCUUUGCAGCAGUCCCCAGAC